ensembl:lncRNA
CCGGGCUGGUGAGAAGUGAGUCAGCGCCCCGGGCGAGCUGAGCUGUGAGGGACGAGAGUCCCGGGCCGCGCGGGGCGCGGGGAGCGCCCGGCCUUCUCGGCACGUGAGACAGGACCCCCGUUGGGUUCUGUCUGCUCCAGCCGCUGGCUGCGUCUCUGACCCCUGCACCCUAACCAGGAGAGCUCAGAGCUGGGUAUUUUUUGUUUAAGAUCGAAGUAGAGUUGGUUUACAACACUGUUCAUCUCGGGCGUACAGCACAGUGAGUCAGUACCUUUGCAGAUUAUGUCCCGUAGUCAGUCGUUACCAGACGGUGAGGAUCAGUUCCCACGCCGAGUGCUGGUCUGCUUUACACGGGGCGGCUGUGUCUGUUCCUGAGAGCUGCCUUCUUCAAGGGCAGGGGCGCCUGGGAGGACAGUUUGGUGAGGAGGCCAGGCCAGCACCUGCUGCCCCUGCCACCCUGCAGGGCUGAGUGGUGCCCUGGGGGUCACCCUGUUGGUUCCCUGGGGAUCACGCUAUUGGUGCCCUGGUGUGGGGGGGGGGGGGUCACCCUGUUGGUGUCCUGGGAGGCAAUCACUCUGUUGGUGCCCCGAGGGGAUCACCCUGUUGGUGCCCUGCAGGGCGGGGCGGAGGGGGCGGCGGUCACACUGUUGGUGCCUCAGUGUGAGUUGGGCUGCACCUCCAAACUACCAUCAUUGAUCGUGUUCUUCACAAGACAAAGCAAAACAGCCCGGUUUCUCUUAAGAAGGGCCCGAAGAAGCAAUCACACUUUCAGUUUUAUUCAUCCUGACCCCUGAAGAUCAAUGUUUUUAAUAGCCUCUGGGACAAAGCAGGAAGUAACAGAAAGCCUCUCACAUACUGUUCAGCAAAGUGCCCUGGUCGUUUUGAGGCAGAAGCUCUUGUAUGACUGAGCUACAAACCCAUCUCGCCAGCAGGUAACUGUGGUUAUUCCAACCAGGGUGUUUGGCAGACAUUCCCCCAAAUAGGGUGAGCCUGUCUCUUCAGGUCCAGGGACUAAGACUCCAAGCUUCCACUGCAGGGGGUGCGAGUUCAAUCCCUCAUCAGGAACUAAGAUUCCCGAGUGUCUUGAGGCGCGGCCAAAAAAAUCAGCAAGUAAACAACUGACAAUAUUUAUGGCCAAUUCAAGCUUUCAAAAGAAAAUUCAAACAUUGUGAAACUUUCUGCCCCAUGACGUUUACAGCUUUCCUACUCCUGGAUUUUUCUGAUGAAUGUUAGCAGAUAGAAUCCACAUAAGCAAAGUCUCCGGGGGUUCUGCGCAUUCGUGGGUGAAGGAGGGGAUAACAGCCACAAGAGAAGGUCAUAAGCAGAGCCACUUUAGCUCCCAGGUGGAGGAUCUGGAAGACCGAGACUGCUGAUCUCUGUUUCAUUAGCUCAUCCCCAUUGGCCUGCUCUGGGCACUCAGGAGUGGGUACCAGUAUGGGCUUUCCAGAUGGCGC